CCCGGGCGACCGGCGCACGGGUGAGUAACACGUAUGCAACCUGGCCGCCACAGGGGGAUAACCCGCGGAAACGCGGCCUAAUACCCCGUGACGCCACCGGAGAGCAUCCUCCGGUGGCCAAAGGAGCGAUCCGGUGGCGGAUGGGCAUGCGGCGCAUUAGCUAGACGGCGGGGUGACGGCCCACCGUGGCGACGAUGCGUAGGGGUUCUGAGAGGAAGGCCCCCCACACUGGGACUGAGACACGGCCCAGACUCCUACGGGAGGCAGCAG
rnacentral:rRNA from 1 species